rnacentral:sRNA from 1 species
UGUGGACCUCCCAGAACCAGGCCUGCUGGAAGGAGUGCAUCCAAAAGGAGGCCACCGCCCAAGUUUCCUGGAAGGUCAACGAUGGCCACAAGUACUUAAGGGAGGGGACUGUGCCCAGGAAGCAGCUCCAGCAGGCCCCAUCCAGGUCAGCCUUGGUAGCGGGCCCGGUGCCUGCCACCAGCUCCUGUGAUAGCAAGGAGGUACAGGUUGGAUGGCCAGAGACCAAGGGGGCCCAGAACCAGCUGUCCAAGGGAGUGGGUGUCCAGGACUCCCCACCCAAGGGAGACAGAAUCUGGGAGGCCAGAAAAGCAACUCAGGGGCCAGCAGGUCAGACCAGGCCAGAGGGCUUAGAAAUGAGGCAGGUCUCCCCAAGAAUCCUGCAGCUGCUCUUCCUAGGCAUCUCCCACGAUGGCCAAGGCCACGCCCUGGACCUCCAGGCAUGGCAUCGGCUGAAGCCCGAGAAGUUCCAGUACCCAGUCAUGUCAUCGUAGGAGUACAGCUGGCACUUGGGGGACGCUAUGAAGCACAUCAAGGUUCCAACUUACGCCAAGGUCCAGUCCAUCACAAAGGUGUUUUACACCAAAAGUGGCAUCUUCCAUUUCCCAUGGCGAACAGAC